ACCUCUGGCAAACAGUUGGGAAGAGUCACCUGCUGGGGGUACAUCUGCAUUCUGACCACACGACGUGACAGCAACCUCUGUGGCCAGUGCUUGAAGAGGGGAAAGGCAUGAAAAAGCUGUUGCCCCGCAUCUCCAACCUUCAGAGAGGGGGAAAUAGUAACAACAGAAAAAUGGUCCUGAUAUUUCUAAGAUAUGAAAGACACCUUUGCAUAAGAUGCUGUCAAACACAUACAGUGGAAGAAAUAUCUACGUUGCAAACAGCCCCUGAUGGGAGUGACUAACUGCACCGAGCAUACGUGGAGCCGCUGACCAUGAGAACCACAAACAGGAAUGCACCCCAGUCCAGGCAGCUGCCACAAAUGAAAUCUCCAGCUCCUCCAUUUUCCUGAGAGAGUAGGUGGGAGAGCAGCCUGCAAGGCUGGACCCAGAGCAGGCAGCACACUGC